GAUUUUAUAGUUUAACUAAAACCCUGAUCUUGUAAAUCAGAAAUGAUCAAUAUCUAAAAUCU
rnacentral:tRNA from 1 species